rnacentral:tRNA from 2 species
GCGCUCUUAGUUCAGUUCGGUAGAACGUAGGUCUCCAAAACCUGAUGUCGUAGGUUCGAAUCCUACAGAGCGUG